AUACGGAGGGAGCAAGCGUUAUUCGGAAUUACUGGGCGUAAAGCGCGCGUAGGCGGUUUGUUAUGUCAGAUGUGAAAGUCCACGGCUCAACCGUGGAGGUGCAUUUGAAACUGGCAAACUUGAGUACUGGAGGGGGUGGUGGAAUUCCCGGUGUAGAGGUGAAAUUCGUAGAUAUCGGGAGGAAUACCGGUGGCGAAGGCGACCACCUGGCCAGAUACUGACGCUGAGGUGCGAAAGCGUGGGGAGCAAACAGGAUUAGAAACCCGAGUAGUCC
rnacentral:rRNA from 1 species